rnacentral:misc_RNA from 1 species
UAGAAACACAUGCAACAUGCCAAGUCCUCAACUUAAUCCUCAAAUGAGUAAAUUGGAUAUGUUAUGAGCUUUGUUGUAUAUUAAGCUUUUCUUAUCUCAUUAGAUUGUGCUACUACAUAAUGGGAAGAAAAUAAGUUUUCAGCAAACUUUAGUCAUUCAAGUGAAUGUUUGAAUAACCAAUAAAUGCUGUGUGUGGUCCAAG